rnacentral:misc_RNA from 1 species
AAGUCGUAACAAGGUUUCCGUAGGUGAACCUGCGGAAGGAUCAUUGCAAAUCAAAGAUUGGGAUGAUAUGAUGCGAUAAGUGUGUGGUGGGUUUGUUUGAGAGCGAUUUUGAACCGUAAGGUUUGAGAGCGAUCUUGACAUUUUGCUGCUACUUGUUGCUUCAAUUUCAUUUUCAUAUACGCACAGCGUGCUUGGAUUUAGAGAGUGAAAAUUCUCUUUGUCCAAACACACUGAUGUUUACGCUUGUUUGUUUGACAAAUCUAUUACAUUUAAAUAUUCAAAACUUUUAACAACGGAUCUCUUGGCUCUU